rnacentral:tRNA from 1 species
GGCUCCAUAGUGUAGUGGUUAGCACGUCUACUUUAGACACAGAAGAUCCUAGGUUCGCGCCCCAAGGUGGAGCCA